rnacentral:rRNA from 1 species
AAAAGCUUUAUUAGAGUAUGUGUAUUUAUAUAGUAAAAAGUUAACUUUGCUGGGGUAGUAACUUUAUGGAAAUUGAAGUUUAAUAAACAUAAAUGUGGGUCUAGGUCUUAUUUAUAAUAAAAAAUUGAGUUAGUUACUUU